rnacentral:rRNA from 1 species
UGGGGAAUAUUGCACAAUGGGGGAAACCCUGAUGCAGCGACGCCGCGUGAACGAAGAAGGUAUUCGUAUCGUAAAGUUCUGUCCUAUGGGAAGAUAAUGACAGUACCAUAUAAGAAAGCUCCGGCUAAAUACGUGCCAGCAGCCGCGGUAAUACGUAUGGAGCGAGCGUUGUCCGGAAUUAUUGGGCGUAAAGGGUACUCAGGCGGUUUAAUAAGUCGAAUGUUAAAGAUCGGGGCUCAACCCCGCAAAGCAUUGGAAACUGAUAAACUUGAGUAGUGGAGAGGAAAGUGGAAUUCCUAGUGUAGUGGUGAAAUACGUAGAUAUUAGGAGGAAUACCAGUAGCGAAGGCGACUUUCUGGACACAAACUGACGCUGAGGUACGAAAGCGUGGGGAGCAAACGGG